rnacentral:misc_RNA from 1 species
GAUGGAGAACGUAGCGAAAUGCGAUAAGUAAUGUGAAUUGCAGAAUUCAGUGAAUCAUCGAAUCUUUGAACGCACAUUGCGCCCGUCAGUAUUCUGGCGGGCAUGCCUGUUCGAGCGUCAUUACGCCCCUCAAGUCCCCUGUGGACUUGGUGUUGGGGAUCGGCGAGGCUGGUUUUCCAGCACAGCCGUCCCUUAAAUUAAUUGGCGGUCUCGCCGUGGCCCUCCUCUGCGCAGUAGUAAAACACUCGCAACAGGAGCCCGGCGCGGUCCACUGCCGUAAAACCCCCCAACUUUUUAUAGUUGACCUCGAAUCAGGUAGGACUACCCGCUGAACUUAAGCAUAUCAAUAAGCGGAGGA